rnacentral:snoRNA from 1 species
UACUAUGAUGAUAAAAACUUUAACAACAACAACUAAUGAAUUUCUUCGACUGAAUUAUAACAACCCAUGUAGAUAAAAUACUUUGACAGCUUUUUAACCCUGAGU